rnacentral:rRNA from 1 species
GCUCGUGGGGGCUCGUCGCUUGCGGCGGCGCUUCCGGGGGUGCUUAGCCCUUGACUCUUACCUUGAUUAUGCGCACCUUUGUUGUUCCCUCGGCAGGUCCGCCUGCCGACAGGAACCCCAUAAACCCUUUUGUAUAAGCAUCAAACGUCUGAAAACAAAUUUAAUUAUUUACAACUUUCAACAAUGGAUCUCUUGGUUCUGGCAUCGAUGAAGAACGCAGCGAAAUGCGAUAAGUAGUGUGAAUUGCAGAAUUCAGUGAAUCAUCGAAUCUUUGAACGCACAUUGCGCCCCUUGGUAUUCCAUGGGGCAUGCCUGUUCGAGCGUCAUUUACACCCUCAAGCGUUGCUUGGUGUUGGGCGUCUGUCCUGCUGUUUCAGCGUGGACUCGCCCUAAAGGUAUUGGCAGCGGUCUUGCCAGCUUCUCGCGCAGCACAUUGCGCUUCUCGAGGCUCCGGCGGAUCGGCGUCCAUCAAGCCCACAUCACAGUUUGACCUCGGGUCAGGUAGGGAUACCCGCUGAACUUAA